UACGUAGGGUGCAAGCGUUGUCCGGAAUUAUUGGGCGUAAAGAGCUCGUAGGCGGUCUGUCGCGUCGGCUGUGAAAACUCGGGGCUCAACUCCGAGCUUGCAGUCGAUACGGGCAGGCUAGAGUUCGGCAGGGGAGACUGGAAUUCCUGGUGUAGCGGUGAAAUGCGCAGAUAUCAGGAGGAACACCGGUGGCGAAGGCGGGUCUCUGGGCCUGUACUGACGCUGAGGAGCGAAAGCGUGGGGAGCGAACAGG
rnacentral:rRNA from 1 species